GUGUAUGGGUGUGGGUGUGGGUGUAUGGGUGUGUGUGUGUGGACAUUUGCAGUAGCUUCCUGGCAUUGUAUUAAAUUGAGGAAAUGACUCUUGUCGACAUAAAUAAUUAUUCGCCUCUGAUUAAAUAACAAUGCUCCAUUAUGUGGUACCACCUUGUUACAUAGUGUAUGGUGUUGGGUAUGAUAAUUGCCACUUCCUGUGAGUUAGUUCCAAUGUUGUGAUGUCAUCACUUGCCCUAUACACUGUACUGUGUUGUGGUCAGUGUUAGCUCAUAGCUGUCUCAUGAUGUGCUUGUAAUGAUUCGACUAUAUUGGGUAACACUAGAACCCUGUGACUGUGUGAUUGCACUAGAACAUGCAUUAUAUCCCACCACAUGAGGUUAAGAUAAACGUGUGCUUCACUAGUAGUAUGAAAUCAAUAUGGCAUCCACAUCUUGAGCAAAACCUGCAGUAAGAAAUAGCUUACAUUAACACAGGUCAACUGAACCUAUCAUAUGCUAUAAUUAUAAUUCUAAUACAAUCUUAACACUAACUGUACAGAGACUGCAUGGCACAGUGUGUGUGGCUAGGAGCACCUACAGCUGUAUAACUAUGUGGAUAUAGCUACCAGUAAACAAGUUUGUGUUCCUUAUUACCUUAAGCUUCCUUGUGGUAGCUUCAGUCUGAAUAGUCCAGCAAAAUCAUUGUAUGGGUUUGAAUGCCCACAGUCAUAUCUGUGUGUCUAUGAAUGUCCUUGCUCUUGUAUAGCAGCGCACCACAGUUAACCGACCAAGCCUGUCCUCAUGACUAUAUUCAUCACCUGAGCAUCUGUUUACCUGCUGGGAAGCACUAUAAUAAUAAUACGAAAGAGCUUCAAAAGACUAGGAUAAGGUUACUGCAUGCAGUGAAUCAACUUCAAAAUUCUCUUGCUAAUAUAAUAUAUUAUUGUUAAGUACAUAACAUGCAUUCCAAGUUAGUCUAUAUACUAGACUGUUUGCUGAAAACAUGUUUAUGUUCCAUUAAGACUAAUCCCAUUUGACAAAACCUUUUAUGUAUCCAUCUCCCUCUAGAACACACACACACACACAUACACACAUCACUAUAGCUAAGAAUGAUUUUUGAACUGAAGACUAUUUCAAUGCAUCUUUGAUUAGCAACGGAAGCUACUCCCAUUACUGAAUCUCGUGCCCCCUGACAUUUGGAAAUGAUAAUCUUGAUUGUCGUGAAGUAGCUAGAGUAUACAGAGCGCCUCUUCAUCCUUAUACUGACAGUGAUGUGCCCAGAAGUGUGUUAGUGGGUGUGGCUAUGUUUUCAAUCUCAAUAUCAAUUCAAAUACACAAAUAUCGUCUUUUGUAGCCUAUUAUGUGGUAAACUAAAGUCAAAUACAUCUAAUAGCUAUAGUGGUGUGUGUGUGUGUGUGUGUGCCUGUAGUUCACUGCUUGUUUCCUGUGUUGUUAGUCCUUAUACGGUGGCAGACACAGUUUUUAUAAAAACUGUGUCUGCAUACGACGAGUCUAUUGCACCGAUUUACAUGUACAUGUAAGCAUGUUUGCAAAAUGUUUGGAACCCUCCAUUAUGUCCAAAUGCACCUGAAGAUUGCCAAGUUGUGUGGCAUGUAGAUUUUAUAUUUCUUGCAUUCUUUCUUUCGCCACAAAAUAGUAUAACUAUGCUAGCCUAUAUAAGAGUGUCUGCAAUAUAGUUCAGUGCUACAUGUGAUCUCUCUCACUAAUGAGAAAUUUUUGGAUGGGCAAAACCUCUGUUAGGGAGUGAGCCCAAAUAAAACAAAAAAAUAAUUGCUUUGAAAAUACAAGUACACAAUGACAGCAUAGAUUGAAGAGAGAGGGAUGGCAAUGUGAUGCUUUUACAUUUGAAUGUACACUGAUGGGCUUGCAACUGAUACUUCGAGGGUACUUCCGUUUCCAAUCCCUCUUUCUCUUCCAUGUAUGCUGAAAGUAAACCCUAGUGGAAAUGGUCCCCAUAGCAACCUUACAAAAAUUGUUACUUCCAAGAUGGAAAGAAUCGGAUGACUUUCAAGAAUCAAAAAUUGUUGAUUCUAAGAAUUUGUCUGAGAGGAAGUGUCCAUUAUUCUUUACCUGUGUGGGGUGCGUGGAGGUCACUUUCUGUGGUCUCCAGUUUCCUCUCAAUAAAGGAAGUUUCUUGUUUUUUGUGGAAAGUUUCACAUCCUCUACAAAGUUUAAUCAGUUAAUUCUUUAUGCUUUAUCUUAUAAAUUAAUUAUCACAAAGAUAUUGUGUUUGAUUGGUCGACUAGUUCAUUGUAUUUUAGCACCGGCUGUGGCAUGUGUUGAAUGCCCAGCUGUUGUUAGAUAUGGUACAUUAAGUAAGUGCUUUGUUCUCAUUUCAAACUGUAUAUUAGGCCUCUGUGUGUUGUGCCUUUUGUUAGGGUUUCACACUAGCUCUCAAAGACAUGUAUAGCUAGCCAGGGUGUGUCACUAUUUCAACGACUGAAGCCUUUUAGCCCACUGUAUUCUGUGAGAUAGCAGUUAGAGUGUAAACAUCUUGUACAAUGCUGUAUUAAGUACACCGGGCCAUUGUAUGGUAUCCAUGGCAGUGACUGGUUGUAUGUUAAACAGAUGUAGCGCUUCCCCCAACUUUUAUGGUGGGUCAUUCAAAGGUUAAUCAAUUUAUAGGAGGCCAUACAAUAAUGUUUACUUGCGCAGUAGCAGCUGUCAGUUAUGGAUUGUCUGUGUACUGGUCAGAGUCUGUGGCCUGAAGUGUUAUCUGUAAACAAGCUAGAGACACACUAGAGGCAGCUGUGUAGUUAUGGGCUAUGUGUGGACUGUCUGUGUGUCAUGCAUAUACACAAAAAUAACAUGCUUCUUUUUAUAUAAUUUGUUAUGUAUAUUUGAGCUGCAUGCUGGUAAUAUAAUUAUACAUGUACUACUGCUUAUUUACUAUUACCAUAUCUGAGUGUGUGCCUUGGAGCGGUAGUUGUAAACAAACUAGAGGAGGAACUAUGGAUACCUGUACUACUAACUAGGACAUUCUGUAGUCAUGGUUAUACGUGUACGUGUACAUAUAAGUGCAAUGCUGAAUAGUGAUGUCGUGCGUAUAAUCGAUGAGUUCCUUUUACAUAUCUAUAUCGAACUUUGAAUAAUUGUCGAUUGAGUUUAACAUCUCAGCUUGCUCAGCCUUGAGGUUCCCACGUGUACCACAGCUAUUAAUGUAUGUACAUGUUCAUAUAUUAUGUUGUUAUGGGUAUCUGUACGACCACUUUAAACGACUGCCCAAAUACACUUAACCAUUUAUCCAUUUAUCGAUUUCCACGGUUUGUGGUCAUGUUUUCGUGUUCGUUCCCAUGCUCGUUGUGUAGCAAUGUCCUCCCUGCGUGUUAUUGUGGUAACAAAUGAACAAAUAAGCAUUGCCCGCAUUAUUAGUUCAUGACGAAAAAAACUGUUUUGCAAUUUAAUUAAUGGUCCAUUUAGAACAUGAAUCGCUCUGGCAUAGAAUAUGAUAUUUAGUUGACUAUAGACGAAAUAGUAUUGCUCAAGCUCACAAGCUUUGAGUGUGUUGAAUGUUGCUUGUGCAUAGCUUUAUGUCUGAGGUGAUGGGAUGUUGUAUCUGUACAGUUUAAUAGCGUCAUCCUUGGGCAGACUAACAGUGUUUAUAGUAACUAAGGAAACAUGUGAUACACACAUAUGCACAGUAUACGCACAGUAUACGUAUCAAUCUAAACUGCCCAUAACUUGCCAAUCUCAAAGAUAUGAUUUUCUGAAAGCCCAGAAAAAAAGUUAUAUCGGAUGGUGUGUUAAGUAGAUAUGGGACUUGUUUUUGCACUUUCUCCCCCACCUAUAGCCCAUGCUUUUUUGCCAAAACGGCCUCGAAAAUAACUUCUGAUUUGAACAGCCAUAACUUUUGUUCUGUUAGUCCAAUUUCAGUGGUAUAUGUGAAACCUUAGAAAAAACACUAUCAGAUGGUAUUUUCAGCUCAAUAUUUUUGAUCGGACCUGAUUUUGAACUUUUCCCCCACCUAUAGCCCACGCUUUUUUGUCAAAAUCAGCCCUGAAAAUUACCUUUGAUUUUAAUAUACCAUCUGAAAGAGCUCACUUUAAGCUACCAGAAAAACAUUAAACUGUUGAAAUUGGACCAUUUAAACCCAAGUUAUGGCCGUUCAAAAAUGGGCUAGCUGUAAUCACCUGCCAUGGUAGCUUUGGGGGCCUAUUAACAUGGCUGUAUUAUAGAGGCUGGGUGCUUAUAGGGAUGACCACAAUAGACAGGCUUCACUGCAGAUGUUGAUACUUCACCAGAGUACAGCUGAUGUACUGGUGAAGUGUUAGCACCAAGUGACACAUAAGAGGUGGCAAGUGUGGAGCAUUCAGAGUUUAAUUGAAACUGGUUCAUUUUUUAAAUUAACACCGGAUGUUCAAUAGUUAGUGAUUGCUUUGCACAUUAUCACCUUUUUGCCGAUUAGUGACCAAUUUACAGACACUCUGAUUAGACUGAGCGUUUAUGGCAAGUAUUCCAAUAAUAUGUGAGCUUGUAAACAAAGACAGUGUGUGAUCUUAGACUAUUAGAUACACAUGUAAUAACAACAAACACGAUUUUCCCCUUUUGUAGUUUGAUCCCACAUUCAAAUUGUUUCGUUAUAGUGUCAUAAGUGUGUACGUUGUAUAAGUGCGUACUGUGGGUGUGUUGUGGUGGAGUCAGUUUUCAGUUUGCUCAAGAUCACACGUAUCACAAGAAGUGUGUGGGAGUACUGAAAUGGUCCCAAACUUGUCACGUUGUUUUCAAGGUUGGUAAGUUUUCACCACAAUCUCAUGUUAUCUGACCACUCAAGCAUAACAGACUGCCGUAGAAAAUCCCAUGGCCGGAGAAAACAGGAAAAGAAGCUUCCUUUGUUGUUAAGUGCAUUCACCUUGUGGACUUUACUAGAGUUGAGUGGGUCACAGUUUAUCUUGUAGACUGUAUACUUAUUGUGAUGUGUUAUUAUGACAUCAUUCUUUAUCAAUAUAAAGGUUUGCCAUAGCUACACGGAAUGACAGGGAAUUACACUUAAUGUCUAUUGUUGUAGAUAGUGUCAUGAACCUUGUAACCUAUAAUUAUAAUCAUUGUCAUACAUUAAUUAUGACAUCAUCUUGUGAAUAGUUUGCCAUAGUGACAAAGAAUUACAUGAAUUCUACAACAUUUACUAGAACUAUAUGAUCUAUACAUACCUACAUGUAUAUGUAUGUCCUGUGUGUGUGUGUUGUAUGUAUGCCCUGUACAUACAGUACUUGUGUAAUGUAUGCCCUGUGUGUGUAUGUUAUCUGUGUGUGCUGCAAGGAUGUACAUGUAUUGCCAACAGUACCGCGGCAAUGUACUGUGUACAUGCAUUUCUUUGUGUAAUUGUCCUAAUUGAGUUGUUGGCUGUUGGUCUUGUCUGUGUCUGUGUUGCCCAGUGGGAGGACUGGGGUGUGUUGCCGGUUGGUGACUGGUCAAUUUGUCAGCCAAGCUUUGUUCAGGUUAUGUGGCUAUAGUUGAGCUAGUUAGUGGCUAAUAAGCUAAGUGGUGGAGAGAGAUCAACAAUGUUGAUUGGAGUUAGUGGGUUGCCAUAUGCUAUAAUGUAUGUUGCUUAGUGAUUGGACUCUUAUUAGGCCUGGAGCUGCAUUACCCCCGCAUGUAUAUGUCUCGAGGUGUCUAUAUAUCGUAUUGUUUUUGCGAAUGAAAAACCAAAACCUUUGCAAAGGAGCCAAAUCAGCAGAAAAUUUAACACUAAAGCCAACUAAUUUUUGCAAUCAGGCGAAGAGUUUAGUGUUCAUAAAAGUACUGGUCUCUGUAUUGUUAUUUUUCGUGGUAAUUCGUAUAUUUCAUAAUUAUUGUAGAGCAUCAUACGAAAAUUCAAACCACGAAAUUAUUCUACCGCAAUAGAUUCAACUGAUACAGGCAUAUGUGUGUAAAAUUAGAAAAGCUGUCGUGAGCUCGUAGUAAUACAAUAAGUAUAGUCACGCAAAUCGUAUCAGCGUGCACCCUGGUAAGUGACCUCUAUUCAUUGGCCGUUUUCAUCAGCUGAUAGCCAACAACAUCAAGCGAUUGUUUAGACCUAAGCAUCCAAACACUAUAACAACGUAACAGCAGUGCGUAACACAACACAGGGUGUGUGAAUUCCACUCAGUAACACAAGGCGGUGGUUAUAACGAUUAAUUAUUGCUCUUGAAUAGCUGAUAUUGUGCCAGUGGUAAACUGACAUUACUCAUCACCCACUGAGUGUAGCGGCCGGUAUAGUUAGCGGGUUAUUGGAGAACUCUAAACACUUACUGUGAUAUCUGUAUAAGUCAGUAACACAAUAUAAUUAUAUACAUAAAGUCAGAAAUAUUAAUAGUUGAUAGUAUAGCGGAUAUACGUGUAUUUUGAGAGUGUAUAAACUUUCACGGACAGAAAGUUUUGAAAGGUUUUCCGCGGAUUUAAUUUUUGCGGAAUAGCAGUCUUUUACAGCAUGUGAUAAUAAAUUUGAGGGUACAAAGUUCGCAGUACAUGCUAAAUCAGCUAAAACCGCGGACAUUUACACCCUCGAAGUAUACCCGCUAUAGUACACAGUUAGUACAGCUGCCGGGUACCGUGUCAGGAGUGCAGGGACACUCUAGACCACACAUAGUUAAUACUUCAGUGUGUUUAUGAUGUGAAAAUCUUUGCGAAUGAACUCAAUUAACAGAAUAUUUAGUUGCGAUCUUAUUUUUGCGGAGCCAUUACCACUUGAAAACAUUUGCAUAUGUGGAUGCACGCAAAACAUUGUAGUAUGACAGUAUUCAAGUUGUUAAUAGAUUGUUAACACGUGUUAACAGUGCUCUACUUUGUUAGAGUGUACAUGUACUAGCCCUCCCCCUGUAUUGUGGAGAAUGAUCAUAUGUGACAGGCUCAGACUUUUGGAGCAGGCUGCUACAAUUUUGGUGAUUAAUGUACCAAAAUAACAUUUUAUUUGAGUUGUUGCACUGCAGGUAUAAACUUAGCUGUAGCUCAAUACUAAAUUAUGCUCCAAAAGUCCGGUUUUCCCAGAGCCUGUCACAUAUCAUGUUCUAGUAGUAAGAAUGGUUAUGUCCUAGGAGCAUGCAGGCUAGUCUGAGCAAGGAGAGCGUGCUCUGUUGUUAUGUUGACUACCUAUCCGACAAAAUAGUUUCUUAAUUUUGUUUUGGUAUGUUUGAUCAGGUACAUAUUAAAUCACCGACUCAGUCUGUACCAGUUGUGACCUGGUAUAUAGUUAUAGUAUUAUGAGACGUACUAUUAGUAUAUAGACUAUGAUCGUAUUUCACGGACACUUGUUGUUUACUAGAAGAGAGGAAGUGAAGAGUUUGCUACACCAUACCACUGCAAUGCUAUAUCUCCUGUUGCAUGUAUUCUCCUGUAUGUAGGUUACAUUGCACGGUAAUCAGUGGUGUUGUCUGGGUGUUGCUAGGAUGGGCUUUCACGUGGCACAGCUGUAUGAUUAAAGUGUGUGCGUAUGUGCAGUCAUAUCAUGUGACAUCACAUGACAAUGUUGAACACCUCGGUGUGGCUUCUGUUGUACAAGGAAGUGUAUCACUUGCUAUUGAAUAUUAUACAGUGCAUGCGUAUAUUCCGUCCCUUUAGUGUGAGAGCAUAGCCAAAAUGUGUGCCUGUAUAGGUACUCAUAUAAUUAUGUAAUAUCUUGAGUUUGGAACACUUCCAAAAAAUGCUGCUGCUGAGGUAUAAUUAUAAGAAGAUCUUGUAAGCGGGCCCAGUUGUUAUGAUCAGCUAGCCAGGGACUAUUAAGCAUGUCAUAUGUUUGUCCUGGGCACAGUUGAUGGUCCAUGACAAGACUAAUGGUCUGGCCAACUCAGUCUCACUCUGUGUGUGUGUGUGUGUGUGUGUGUGUGUAUCCACACAUUCGCCCAAUUAAGCAACUCAUGAUUCAUUAAACAGGAAAGAUACCUAUUAAAGGUGGCGUGAUCAUGCCCUGUAUGUGGAAUGUGUCGUAAGUGUGUUGACACAUGUGUGGGUGUGUGUUUAGGGUCUCCUGGGUCUAUAGUCGUUUGAAGUCUAUGUCAGCAUAUUAGCCCUAUUCAGGUGUACUAGCAAUAUUCACUACUCUGUGUGUUAGGUGUGUGGGUGAUUAAUUGAGACUACCGUUACUGCCAAUAUUUGCUGACAGUGGCGGUAAUGACAACACAAUGGAGUGCAUACUGAUGCAAUACUUAUACUAACUACCUCAAUAAAUAUAGCCAGGUCAGCAGCAUGACCAAGGUAACCACGCUUCCAGAAUGUUCUAGAAAGCCACGGUUUCUAUAUAACAUGAUCAGCUUGCUAAUGUAUGCAGCAGCUGACUGACCAUAAUUAUAACAACACAGGUUGUGCAUAUAUAUAGCUGUAUUCACUUUUGGGUUAGUGCUUUUUCUUUUACUACUGACAGUUUAGUUACUGCCUUCAAACUUCAACUAAAGUGCCAACCAAACACAGUAUGCACCAGCAGCUGCCCCAGGCCAUCACUGCCAAACCACAACUGAGACACACUCAACUGCCCAUUCAUUGUUUCUAACCAUUUCAAUAGAACAUGAAACUAACCUUUUCCUGUAAUGACAUUAUACUCCACACAAUACAUGUACAUGUAUGGCUGUGCCUGUAUUUCAGUCUGGUGUGUUCUGUGUGUUAAGUGCAUCUACUUUGUGGUCUCAUACUUCUUUCUUUUGUAUAUACUGUAUAAAUGUCUCAUUGGAAGUGUUCUGUGUGCCAAGUUACAUUCUCACACAGCAAAUUUCAUUAUGGCUUUUUAAUUAAAGUUUUAAAAGUUUA